rnacentral:rRNA from 1 species
GGUUAAGUUAGAAAGGGCGCACGGUGGAUGCCUUGACACUAGGAGUCGAUGAAGGACGGGACUAACGCCGAUAUGCUUCGGGGAGCUGUAAGUAAGCUUUGAUCCGAAGAUUUCCGAAUGGGGAAACCCACCAUACGUAAUGGUAUGGUAUCCUUAUCUGAAUACAUAGGAUAAGGAAGACAGACCCAGGGAACUGAAACAUCUAAGUACCUGGAGGAAGAGAAAGCAAAUGCGAUUUCCUGAGUAGCGGCGAGCGAAACGGAACAUAGCCCAAACCAAGAGGCUUGCCUCUUGGGGUUGUAGGACAUUCUAUACGGAGUUACAAAGGAACGAGGUAGACGAAGCGACCUGGAAAGGUCCGUCGUAGAGGGUAACAACCCCGUAGUCGAAACUUCGUUCUCUCUUGAAUGUAUCCUGAGUACGGCGGAACACGUGAAAUUCCGUCGGAAUCUGGGAGGACCAUCUCCCAAGGCUAAAUACUCCCUAGUGAUCGAUAGUGAACCAGUACCGUGAGGGAAAGGUGAAAAGCACCCCGGAAGGGGAGUGAAAGAGAUCCUGAAACCGUGUGCCUACAAAUAGUCAGAGCCCGUUAACGGGUGAUGGCGUGCCUUUUGUAGAAUGAACCGGCGAGUUACGAUCCCGUGCGAGGUUAAGCUGAAGAGGCGGAGCCGCAGCGAAAGCGAGUCUGAAUAGGGCGUUUAGUACGUGGUCGUAGACCCGAAACCAGGUGAUCUACCCAUGUCCAGGGUGAAGUUCAGGUAACACUGAAUGGAGGCCCGAACCCACGCACGUUGAAAAGUGCGGGGAUGAGGUGUGGGUAGCGGAGAAAUUCCAAUCGAACCUGGAGAUAGCUGGUUCUCCCCGAAAUAGCUUUAGGGCUAGCCUUAAGUGUAAGAGUCUUGGAGGUAGAGCACUGAUUGGACUAGGGGUCCUCAUCGGAUUACCGAAUUCAGUCAAACUCCGAAUGCCAAUGACUUAUCCUUAGGAGUCAGACUGCGAGUGAUAAGAUCCGUAGUCAAAAGGGAAACAGCCCAGACCGCCAGCUAAGGUCCCAAAGUGUGUAUUAAGUGGAAAAGGAUGUGGAGUUGCUUAGACAACUAGGAUGUUGGCUUAGAAGCAGCCACCAUUUAAAGAGUGCGUAAUAGCUCACUAGUCGAGUGACUCUGCGCCGAAAAUGUACCGGGGCUAAAUACACCACCGAAGCUGCGGAUUGAUACCGAAUGGUAUCAGUGGUAGGGGAGCGUUCUAAGGACAGUGAAGUCAGACCGUAAGGACUGGUGGAGUGCUUAGAAGUGAGAAUGCCGGUAUGAGUAGCGAAAGACGGGUGAGAAUCCCGUCCACCGAAUGCCUAAGGUUUCCUGAGGAAGGCUCGUCCGCUCAGGGUUAGUCAGGACCUAAGCCGAGGCCGACAGGCGUAGGCGAUGGACAACAGGUUGAUAUUCCUGUACCACCUCUUUAUCGUUUGAGCAAUGGAGGGACGCAGAAGGAUAGAAGAAGCGUGCGAUUGGUUGUGCACGUCCAAGCAGUUAGGCUGAUAAGUAGGCAAAUCCGCUUAUCAUAAAGGCUGAGCUGUGAUGGGGAAGCUCCUUAUGGAGCGAAGUCUUUGAUUCCCCGCUGCCAAGAAAAGCUUCUAGCGAGAUAAAAGGUGCCUGUACCGCAAACCGACACAGGUAGGCGAGGAGAGAAUCCUAAGGUGUGCGAGAGAACUCUGGUUAAGGAACUCGGCAAAAUGACCCCGUAACUUCGGGAGAAGGGGUGCUUUCUUAACGGAAAGCCGCAGUGAAUAGGCCCAAGCGACUGUUUAGCAAAAACACAGCUCUCUGCGAAGCCGUAAGGCGAAGUAUAGGGGGUGACACCUGCCCGGUGCUGGAAGGUUAAGGAGAGGGGUUAGCGUAAGCGAAGCUCUGAACUGAAGCCCCAGUAAACGGCGGCCGUAACUAUAACGGUCCUAAGGUAGCGAAAUUCCUUGUCGGGUAAGUUCCGACCCGCACGAAAGGUGUAACGAUUUGGGCACUGUCUCAACCAGAGACUCGGUGAAAUUAUAGUACCUGUGAAGAUGCAGGUUACCCGCGACAGGACGGAAAGACCCCGUGGAGCUUUACUGUAGCCUGAUAUUGAAUUUUGGUACAGUUUGUACAGGAUAGGCGGGAGCCAUUGAAACCGGAGCGCUAGCUUCGGUGGAGGCGCUGGUGGGAUACCGCCCUGACUGUAUUGAAAUUCUAACCUACGGGUCUUAUCGACCCGGGAGACAGUGUCAGGUGGGCAGUUUGACUGGGGCGGUCGCCUCCUAAAGUGUAACGGAGGCGCCCAAAGGUUCCCUCAGAAUGGUUGGAAAUCAUUCGUAGAGUGCAAAGGCAUAAGGGAGCUUGACUGCGAGACCUACAAGUCGAGCAGGGACGAAAGUCGGGCUUAGUGAUCCGGUGGUUCCGCAUGGAAGGGCCAUCGCUCAACGGAUAAAAGCUACCCCGGGGAUAACAGGCUUAUCUCCCCCAAGAGUCCACAUCGACGGGGAGGUUUGGCACCUCGAUGUCGGCUCAUCGCAUCCUGGGGCUGUAGUCGGUCCCAAGGGUUGGGCUGUUCGCCCAUUAAAGCGGUACGCGAGCUGGGUUCAGAACGUCGUGAGACAGUUCGGUCCCUAUCCGUCGUGGGCGUAGGAAAUUUGAGAGGAGCUGUCCUUAGUACGAGAGGACCGGGAUGGACGCACCGCUGGUGUACCAGUUGUUCUGCCAAGGGCAUAGCUGGGUAGCUAUGUGCGGAAGGGAUAAGUGCUGAAAGCAUCUAAGCAUGAAGCCCCCCUCAAGAUGAGAUUUCCCAUAGCGUAAGCUAGUAAGAUCCCUGAAAGAUGAUCAGGUUGAUAGGUUCGAGGUGGAAGCAUGGUGACAUGUGGAGCUGACGAAUACUAAUAGAUCGAGGACUUAACCAU